rnacentral:rRNA from 1 species
GUGGAUUAGAUACCCUAGUAGUCCACGCCGUAAACGAUGGAUGCUAGCCGUUGGUAAGCAUGCUUAUCAGUGGCGCAGCUAACGCAUUAAGCAUCCCGCCUGGGGAGUACGGCCGCAAGGUUGAAACUCAAAGGAAUUGACGGGGGCCCGCACAAGCGGUGGAGCAUGUGGUUUAAUUCGACGCAACGCGCAGAACCUUACCAGGGUUUGACAUCCCGUGCCACGCUCAGAGAUGGGCGGUCCCCGCAAGGGGCGCGGAGACAGGUGCUGCACGGCCGUCGACCGCU